rnacentral:ncRNA from 2 species
AUAUUCAUUUACGGGUGCUCGCAAGCAAAGUGCGGGCUGAGACCCCUGGCGCAGGCGCUGGGAAACCGUCGAACUUGAACCGGAUAAUGCCGGCGAAAGGAUAAAAGAAAUGGUUACUU